UUGGUAGUAGAUCCUUAUAUUGAUUUUGUUGCUUCCCUUAUCUGACUCACCCCAGUCCUUCACUCCUGCUUCCUAUUAUCACUUAUAAAACUACCUGAACACGAACCCUAUUCUUGGACUCUGCCUUCAAGGAAAUCCAGGAUGAAAAAUAUCCUGACCUUACUGAAACCAACAAAAUGUCAGAAGACAACAGUGGCCAGUGAUGGAAUCUGUAGUAGUCAACCUCUUCACUCAAAAAGUAGGGCAGAGGCAGGUUAAGAGUGAAUCUUGAAGGACAAAUGGAAAACACUAAAACACUUUCCAAAAGUUUAUUAUGUCCUCAACCUUGGGACUAAAUAAAUAAAUUUACUCAGCAUGGCAUGCUCUUCUGGGCAAAAUGCUUGUAUAAAUCAUACCAAUUUUCUCAUUUACUGACAUAUAAAGUCUGCUAUAAGGAAGUGAUACACCCAACUCAUUUAUGUAGAAAGAGUUUUAAACAAAAAAGUUGUUUGAAUUUGGAAUAUGUAGGUUAUGGCAUAGAGUCAAGGCAGCACAAGGUCACCACUUGGCAGCAAUAUCAUCCAGUGCUGUAAAGCAUUGAUAAGGAGAUUCACAAGAUGUUCUUUAACAAUUCUCCUAAUUCUAAGUCAGAGCAUCAGUGUCUACUAAUGAAAUAGAAACACUCUCUUUCCAUGGGGUGAUGUGAGUAGUCAUUAUUGGAAUGCACUCAAAUUUUUUGGAAGGAACGUGUUUCCUAACUGAGGGCACCACGAACAGUGUUAUAUCACUCAACAGGAAGCCCCACCAUGCAGUAGUAGAGGAAUAGAGGUUUUGGAGCAGAGCUGCAGGUAUUUGUGUCAAAGGGCGGGUUGAGGAGAGGAGUAUAGACUGUAUUCUCCAAAAUUCUGUGCUAACAUGAACAGAGAUGCAACAAGGAGAAAUGCAAAACGGAAUUUGACCCUUGGUUUCAGCUCUCCAGUGGCAAAAUCUAAACAGAGCCUUUGUUCAAUACUUGGCACAUCAUUCCCUAGGCGGCAAUGGUCCAUUUUGAGAAGACAUAUGACACUCUCAGGGAAACAGGACUUGGAAGAAGUAGAAGGACCAGCCCAUCGAGGAGAAACAGAGUGAUGGUGUGUUCUUUCCUCGGGCAGGGCUACUCUGUGCACACCAGGAUGCCUCUAACAAACAAAGGUCCUUUGGAAGAAGAAAGAGCAGCUCCUGGCUGUUCUCAGUCAUGAGAAGACUCUUUUAUGUGCAAGGGAGUUGUGAGAAAUUGGCUCCUAUCAAAUGUCAGAUGAUUGUAUUCAUUUGAUUUCGUAUAAUGGCAAAAUUUUAUAAGAAGUCAAAUAAGUAUGAAGAACAAUAUGCUGACUUGGAGCCAGAAGACCUGAGAUUGAACCUCAGCUCUAAUAAUAAUAUCAGCUCUGCUCAUAAUCACAUAAUUGCAUAUGAGCAGAGCAACUCCACAAGACAGCUGCUGUUCUUAGCCUCAUUUCACAGGUCUGUAAAUGGAGGCACGAAGAGAUGGAGUAACAUUUCUAAGGUCACAAAGCUGGUGGUGAAUUUUGGAAUGAUUGGAAUCAUGUUGUCGAGUUUCUUAACAAAACUUCCCUUUGGGAUUUUGAUGAGGAGGAAGGCCCUUCCUGGAAGUUCUCGCACAGACCUCUCAUAGAUUUCAUUGGCCAGGUUGGCAUCAUCUGACUAUGCCUUCUCCAAUCAGUGGUGUGGGGAAGGAACUGCCAUUGGUUCUGGAAAAUCCAGUCACAUGAUGGGGCUGGACAUGACCUCCUUCCCUUAGCAUGAAGAGGAUGAAGAAAGGAAGUUCGGAAAGGAUAAGUACAAUGCCAAGGUCACACAGCAAGGUAACUGAUAAGGUUGACUGGGCUCUGCUGGGCAGCUCUUGCAUCGGGUGUCUAGAGAUGCAGCCAUCUGAAGACAUGACUAGGCUGGACGUCCAAGAAGGAUUACUUAUAUGGAUGGCACUUGAUGCGGGUUGUCAUCUGGGAGCUCAGUUGAGGCUGUUGACCUGACAGCCAACAUGUGGUCUCUCCAUGUGGUGUGAGCAUCUCACUGUAUGGUGAACAGAUUUUCAAAGAAAAUACCCCCAAAGAGAGCAUUCCAAGAGGUUCAGGAAGAAGUUUCAAGACUUCUUAUAACCUAGUAAUGGAAGUUCUAGGACAUCACUUCUACCAUAUUCUCUUGGUCAAGCAAGGCCAGGCUAGGUUCAAAGGGAGGGGAAAUAGAUUUUACUACCUAAUGAGAUAAGGGCAAGAUCACAGUGGAGAAGAGGUUGUAGGAUAGGAGGUAUUGGAGCAGCAAUUUUUGGAAACUACAGUCUGCCACAAAAAAGGCAAAAAGGUGGAUGAGAUUGAUCCCUUGGAAAAGCAGGGAGGAAAACCUUGUCAUUUCUGGUUCAGUUUUAUUCUGUCUGCCCCCAUCAUCUGUAGCUCUGUGUCAGUAGUGGAUGUGGCUUUAGUGUGGUGAUCCACAUCUUUAUUCACUGAGUACCCACUUAAAAACACUUCAGCCUCCACUCCAGGUGCAUGUUCCCAACCGCUUGACCAGACAUGGUCCCUCCUCACUUGGUUGCCAUUUGGGGCUUCUCCUCACUUGUCUUCUCCUCUGAUUUUUAAUGUUACUUCCAUAGAGCUCAGGAAUCAUCAAGACAUUCUUCCCCCUUCUCUGAGAAUUGGAGAGAGCUGGGGAUAAGAUCAGAGAUGCCCCCCAUUUUUACCUAAGCACAUUAUACCAUUGCCCAGAAUCCACAAGCCUCCUAAACUAAGAAAAAGUCAGAUGGGAACAGGCACCAUGAACUACAAGUGCAAAUGCCUAGAUCUUAAACGUCUUCUUUGUUGUUGGGGGAAGUCAGGGACCCCAAAUGGAGGGACCAGCUGAGGCCGUGGCAGAAGAAUGUGGAUUGUGAAGAUUUCAUGGACAUUUAUUACUUCCCCAAAUUAAUACUUUUAUAAUUUCUUAUGCCUGUCUUUACUGCAGUCUCUAAACAUAAAUUGUAAAGAUUUCAUGGACACUUAUCACUUCCCCAAUUAACACCCUUGUGAUUUCCUAUGCCUGUCUUUAAUCUCUUAAUCCUGUCAGCUGAGGAGGAUGUAUAUCGCCUCAGGACCCUGUAAUAAUUGCAUUAACUGCACAAAUUGUACAGCGUGUGUGUUUGAGCAAUAUGAAAUUUGGGCACCUUGAAAAAAGAACAGGAUAACAGCAAUGUUUAGGAAACAAGAGAGAUAACCUUAAACUCUGACCGGUGGUGAGCUGGGCGGAACAGAGCCAUAUUUCUCUUCUUUCAAAAGCAAAUGGGAGAAAUAUCACUGAAUUCUUUUUCUCAGCAUGGAAGAUCCCUGGGAAAGAGAACAUGCACCUGGAGGUAUAGGCUUAUAAAAAGCCCCCCCCCCCCCAAGUGCACCUGUCUCUUAUGGUCAAGACUGCAGGGGUGAAAUAGACCCCAGUCUCCCAUAGCACUCCUAGGCUUAUUAGGAAGAGGAAAUUCCCCCCUAAUAAAUUUUGGUCAGACCGGUUGAUCUCAAAAACCCUGUCUCCUGAUAAGAUGUUAUCAAUGACAAUGGUGCCUGAAACUUCAUUAGCAAUUUUAAUUUUGCCCCGGUUCUGUGGUCCUGUGAUCUUGCCCUGCCUCCACUUGCCUUGUGAUAUUACCUUGUAAAGUACUUGAUGUCUGUGACCCACACCUAUUCGCACACUCCCUCCCCUUUUGAAACUCCCUAAUAAAAACUUGCUGGUUUUUGCAGCUUGUGGGGCAUCAUGGAACCUACCGACAUGUGAUGUCUCCCCCGGACGCCCAGCUUUAAAAUUUCUCUCUUUUGUACUCUGUCCCUUUAUUUCUCAAGCUGGCCGACACUUAAGGAAAAUAGAAAAGAACCUACGUGAAUAUCGGGGCAGAUUCCCCGAUACUUUAUGACAUUUAUUACUUUUCUAUGGUAUGUAAAAAAUUGCCACAACACAUAUAUAUAUACCGUGGAAUACUAUGCAGCCAUAAAAAGAAUGAGAUCAUUUUUUUGCAAGGACAUGGAUGGAGCUAUAGGCCAUUAUCCUUAGCAAACUAACACAGGAACAGAAAACCAAAUACCUCAUGUUCUCACUUAUAAUUGGGAGUUAAAUGAUGAGAACACAUGGACACAUCAAUGGGAAAAACACACACUGGGGCCUUUUCGAGGGUGGAAGGUGAGAGGAGGGAGAGUAUCAGGAAACAACUAAUGGGUACUAGGCUUAACACCUGGGUGAUAAAAUCAUCUAUACGAUAAACCCCCAUGACACACAUUUACCUAUGUAACAAACCUGCACUUGUACCCCUAAACUUAAAAUAAAAGUGUAAAAAAUUGCCAAACGUAGCAGCUUAAAACAAUACCUACUUAUAAGCUCACAAUUCUGUAGGUCUCCUGUCCAGGAAGCAUUCACUGGGUUCUUUCCUCAGGCUAUCACCAGACUGAAUUUAACAUGUUGAUCAGAAUGAACUCUCA
rnacentral:lncRNA from 1 species